GACGAACGUUGGCGGCGCGCCUGACCCAUGCAAGUCGAGCGACGGACCUUUUUGGGGUUACCCAGAGAGGUUACGGAGCGGCGGACGGCCGAGUAACGCGUAAGCAACCUGCCCUUCGGAGGGGGAUAACUCUCUGAAAAGGGAGCUAAUACCACAUACGCUUAAGGGAACGCCUGUUUCCUUAAGGAAAGGGAGGCAACUCCCGCCGAAGGAGGGGCUUACGUCCUAUCAGCUAGUUGGUAAGGUAACGGCUUACCAAGGCGAUGACGGGUAGCUGGCCUGAGAGGGUGGCCAGCCGGACUGGGAUUGAGACACGGCCCAGACUCCUACGGGAGGCAGCAGGGCGGAAUCUUGCGCAAUGUCCGAAAGGGUGACGCAGCGACGCCGCGUGAGGGAUGAAGCCCUUCGGGGCGUAAACCUCUUUUGCAGGGGAAGACUUCCGACGGUACCCUGCGAAUAAGUCCCGGCCAAUUACGUG
rnacentral:rRNA from 1 species